AUUGAACGCUGGCGGCAUGCUUUACACAUGCAAGUCGAACGGUAACAGGCCGCAAGGUGCUGACGAGUGGCGAACGGGUGAGUAAUGCAUCGGAACGUGCCCAGUCGUGGGGGAUAACGCAGCGAAAGCUGUGCUAAUACCGCAUACGAUCUGUGGAUGAAAGCGGGGGACCGAAAGGCCUCGCGCGAUUGGAGCGGCCGAUGUCAGAUUAGGCAGUUGGUGGGGUAAAGGCUCACCAAGCCAACGAUCUGUAGCUGGUCUGAGAGGACGACCAGCCACACUGGGACUGAGACACGGCCCAGACACCUACGGGAGGCAGCAGUGGGGAAUUUUGGACAAUGGGCGCAAGCCUGAUCCAGCAAUGCCGCGUGCAGGAAGAAGGCCUUCGGGUUGUAAACUGCUUUUGUACGGAGCGAAAAGGCUCUCUCUAAUACAGGGGGCUCAUGACGGUACCGUAAGAAUAAGCACCGGCUAACUACGUGCCAGCCGCCGCCGUAACAC
rnacentral:rRNA from 1 species